rnacentral:rRNA from 1 species
AAAGGCCUUUUCGGAGGUACUCGAGUGGCGAACGGGUGAGUAACACGUGGGUGAUCUGCCCUGCACUCUGGGAUAAGCCUGGGAAACUGGGUCUAAUACCGGAUAGGACCGCACUUUAGUGUGUGUGGUGGAAAGUUUUUUCGGUGUAGGAUGAGCCCGCGGCCUAUCAGCUUGUUGGUGGGGUAAUGGCCUACCAAGGCGGCGACGGGUAGCCGGACUGAGAGGUUGGUCGGCCACAUUGGGACUGAGAUACGGCCCAGACUCCUACGGGAGGCAGCAGUGGGGAAUAUUGCACAAUGGGCGCAAGCCUGAUGCAGCGACGCCGCGUGGGGGAUGACGGCCUUCGGGUUGUAAACUCCUUUCGCCAGGGACGAAGCGUUUUGUGACGGUACCUGGAGAAGAAGCACCGGCUAACUACGUGCCAGCAGCCGCGGUAAUACGUAGGGUGCAAGCGUUGUCCGGAAUUACUGGGCGUAAAGAGCUCGUAGGUGGUUUGUCACGUCGUCUGUGAAAUUCCACAGCUUAACUGUGGGCGUGCAGGCGAUACGGGCUGACUUGAGUACUGUAGGGGUAACUGGAAUUCCUGGUGUAGCGGUGAAAUGCGCAGAUAUCAGGAGGACACCGAUGGCGAAGGCAGGUUACUGGGCAGUUACUGACGCUGAGGAGCGAAAGCAUGGGUAGCAAACAGGAUUAGAUACCCUGGUAGUCCAUGCCGUAAACGGUGGGCGCUAGGUGUAGGGGCCUUUUGGGGUUUCUGUGCCGUAGCUAACGCAUUAAGCGC